rnacentral:lncRNA from 1 species
CGGCUGGGGGCUUUAUUAGGGGGCACCGGGGUCUGCUUUCCGACUCCCUUCCGACUCCGCGCCUGCGCAGGAAGCGAUUUGGGGAGUGUUGUGAAUUCCGAGGGCUCCACACUUAAGAGGUUGUACACUCACCUGUCUACCUGGACUCCAAUUUCCAUAUUUCCAGCCACUUGAGGACUGAGAGGUGGAUGAUAAACCCUGUCAUAGUGGAGCAAGUUCAGGUGUUUAACCGCUGUUAUGGGGGAUCUGCCUUUUCUCCCUCUUCUUUCUUACUUCCAUAAGUAUGUAUGUGCAGAGAUUGAAAAAUAACCUUGAGAGAGUCCAUCCAUCUAACUCCAGUUCAUUGGAAAUUUCUGCUUCUUUGAGACUGAGGUUAUAUUCCACUUCUUCUGACUACACCACCACCAUCAAUCUCCUUCUCUGAACUCUUGGAUCAUUACUUCAACCUGAAACAACUCAUCAGGUAUCUAUAAAGGUGGUUAUUUGAGUUCCUGUUUUUAGGAUUCCAAAAUGAUGCCAAGAUAUGUAAAAUGAAAUGUUAAUUGCAUUUUUUUUGAGGGGGUUAGAACUAUGUAAGUCCCAAAA